ensembl:lncRNA
GGAAGCAGAAUGACCCCUUCUCCCUACUCCCUUUAUCCUCAACAUCAGCAGGUGGGCCCAGGACUACCAGGCAAAUGCUGAGAUCCAGGACCCACUGAGGAGUAGCGAUGGUAGCAACUGGCCAAACCCACACUUUCCACAGGAGCUGGGCAUGGCUGAGGCCUACAGACAUGCAGGCAGUGCUCCGAGGGUGAGGACAAGGCAGAUCAUGCAUAAUUCCUGCCGUGAGUCUGGCUGCAUGCUAGUGUUUUGCUUGCUUGCCUUCAGUAAUGCCUCUCCAUCUUGAUGGAAUUUCCAGUUCGCAAUAAAGUGUAGAUACAGUAUAUAAGGCAAUGUUACUUUGUAUGUAAUGCCGAAUGUGUAUUUUUAUUUUAUCUGUAGAUUAGUGGCUUCGAUUCAGGCAGCUUCAAAGGAAUUGUGAUCAAGUUGUGAUAAUUUAGUCAACAAGCAGGUUAAUGAGGGAGGUAAACUGAGUCAGGACCCUCCAUGUGAUCACCCCAGACAAAUGCUCCAUGCCCAAAGCACAGAUGAUUUUAACUUACUUUUCUUGCCUGGAUUCACUGGCUAUAGCUUCAGUACAACGUUGAAUAGAAAUGACGACAGUGGGCCUCCUUGUCUCAUUCGUGAUCCUAGGAUGCUUAGAUGUAAGUUUUUCAUAGGUGCUUUAUCAGACUGAGGAUGAUUACUACUAACUUGUUGCUGAUGGUAAGCCACGUUUCCUGUCUCCAUAUUGAAGAAAUGAAAUGGCAGCUUGAAGGCAGCAGGACAGAGAUUCACUGCUAAAGAACCAAAUCAGCUGUGACUGCCUAUCGGUGUGGAGGACAGAAGGGCUCCAGGCUGUACCAUCAUUGAGAUGCAGGAAUUUGAGUGAGUCCUCCGUGUUCAAACUGGCCUGGAGUUGGUGCUGGGGAGUUUGUGGCUACUUCUACAUACAACUACAUAAAGAACUGGCUUAACAUUAAUGAUCAAGUAAAUGAGUCACUAAACAAGAAAACAAAACCAAACUAUGAAAUCUGUUGUUAAAAGUAUAUUAAAACUUCAGAUGGAAAAUGAUUGAAAUCAAUUAUUAAAUAUGUUUCAAAAAAAGAAAGCAUGCCACAUCCAUUUGGCUCGUUUUCAUAGGUAAUAUCAAACUGCUAAAUAUCACCUUCAUUCAGCCACUGACAAAUGUGUGCGAUGAGGUGCAGCCCACAGAGCCUUUAAUCAGUGUGACCAUUACAAUUUCUCAUGGCCUUUAAUUUUGCUUCUGUUCAUUUAUCAACAUUGGAUGUUAUAACAUCAGGUAGCAUGACGUGUGACAUUUGUCUGUCAUUCAGUCAUUCCGUUAUUUAUUGAAUGCCUAUUACAGCACCCAGUUUGAGAUGGGAGUGGGAGAGUCAUGGUGAACAAUACGAGUAAAACGCCUGCCCUCAUGAGGAUUACGUUCCUAUUGUCAUGAAGUUGUCAUCUACUUCUAGACAACAAACAAGAAAAAACAAAUGAUCAAAAUGCACUCAAAGAACAAUAAUAAACACUUGAGAUUAAAGCACUUUAAGAAAGUUAAAAAAAACAAAAAAGUCAUGGGGCAGUGGCUAAUUUAGUUUAACUGGUCAGGGAGGCCUCUUCACAGAGUUCACAUUUUGCAGAAAACUAAAGAAGAUCCGGCCUUGAGAAGAUGUGGAAAAGGGAACAGCAAAUGCAAAAGCCUGAUAGAGGAAGAGCUUUGGAUGGUGAUAUUUCAGCAAGAACAUCCUCAAGGCUGGAGCAGGGUGAACAGGAGGGAAACCAGUAGCAUGUGGAAUAGGAUCAAAUGAGCAUUCAACUCUAUUUUUCCAGGGGUUGGAGAAUCAGAUAAGGCCCCCCAUGUAUGCUGUAAAUAACCAAGACUCACCUUCUAUAUUAAAAGAGAGAGAUGUGUCUUUCCGUUUGAAUGUUAAAAACCGUUUAAAACUCUUUACAAAAUUACCAAAGAUAAAUAAUAUCACAUAUACCAAAUUUAUCCAUCUAGUCUCACAAUAUGAAGAUUAAUAAUUUUUAAAAUUAUUUUUAUUUCAUGAUUUUGCAUAAAAGUUGUGAGUGAAAUAGAUACCGUGAUUAGAGAAAAGAUAAGGAGAAAAUGUGUAUGUUUGUGUGUGUGUCUAUUUGGCAGGGGGUGGUGACAUGUCAUAAUAUAUAGUUGGUAUGCAUCCUAUCUAGUUUCUAAUUAAAACCAAAAUUGGCCGGGCGCGGUGGCUCACUCCUGUAAUCCCAGCACUUUGGGAGGCCGAAGCAGGCAUAUCACAAGGUCAGGACUUCAAGACCAGCCUGGCCAAUAUGGUGAAACCACGUCUCUACUAAAAAUACAAAAAUUAGCCGGGCGUGGUGACAGGUGCCUGUAGUCCCAGCUACUUGGGAGGCUGAGGCAGGAGAAUCACUUGAACCCGGGAGGCGGAGGUUGCAGUGAGCCAAAAUCACGCCACUGCACUUUAGCUUGGGAGACAGAGCGAGACUCUGUCUCAAAAAAAAAAAAAAAAAAAAAAUUAUAAUAUAAUAUGACUCACCACAGCAACCCAUUUACAUAUUUUGUUAUAUGGCAACAAGGAAUUAAUACUAAUAAUAAACCCCCAAAGACAUGAAUCACAGGAUGUAAAGUCACUCCCUAAAUUUCUACAUCUUUAAGUUUCAUGGGUCCACUCCUUGUCUAUGGUGAUCUCUGUUGUAGAAUUUGUCCCAUCCCACUUCCUUGGGCUGCUUCCCUCAGCAAACUCACACAUCCACUCUCUCCAAUAAAAUCAGAAUAAUGAUGAAGUGGUACCACUUUCUUGCUUCAUUGGCAAAUAACUAUGGAAGCUAAGUGUCUUGUUAAGAACAAUAUUAGCAGACCAUUAUAAGCCCUAGACUUGCUAUCUCUUAAACAUUGAUGAAAGAUAAGAUGUAAAAAUAGCAGUUGCUGACUUGCAUUAAUAAAGUGUUAAGAAGGGCGAGAGCCAAGGAUUGCCACAGGGAAGAAAUUAAGUAACCCGCUUACUGCUUUUCCUUGGGCAACUAUAGAUAAAAUGUUUGGCUUGGGUAAAGAACUGUUAAAACCUUAAAAUAAAAUUUAAUGACCCAGUUUUAAAAAAACUUAAUCCAAAUAUUAAUCAGGUUUUUAAACACAGAGUAUAAUUCCUUCAGUAUGGAAGCUGUGCCAUAGAGUUCACUCUAUGUAACGUUUUUGUAUUUUAAAAAAUACUGGGCCGGGCACAGUGGCUCACGCCUGUCAUCCCAGCACUUUGGGAGGCCGGGGCGGGCGGAUCACGAGGUCAGGAGAUCGAGACCAUCCUGACUAACACAGGUGAAACCCUGUCUCUUCUAAAAAUACGAAAAAAAAUUAGCCGGGCACCGUGGCGGGCGCCUGUAGUCCCAGCUAUCAGGAGGCUGAGACAGGAGAAUGGUGUGAACCCGGGCGGCGGAAACUGCAGUGAGCCGAGAUCGCACCACUGCACUCCAGCCUGGGUGGCAGAGAGAGAUUCUGUCUCAAAAAAAAAAAAAAAAAAACUGUUUGUACUUUAGAAAAAUACAUAGCUGUGUUGAGAUAUAGUUAAUAUAAUGUACAUUUUAUCCAUCUAAAAGUAAAAUUCAGUGAUGCUUAAUCUAUUCACUGACGUGUAUAACCAUCACCGCAGUCAGUUUUAGGACCCGUUCUUCAUCCCUAUAAAUGUUUGCUAGGGCUGCCAUAACAAAGCACCACAGACU